rnacentral:rRNA from 1 species
UACGUAGGGGGCAAGCGUUGUCCGGAUUUAUUGGGCGUAAAGCGCACGUAGGCGGCUUAGCAAGUCGGAAGUGAAAUCCCUCGGCUCAACCAAGGAAGUGCUUUCGAAACUGCUGAGCUUGAGUACUUAAGAGGAUCGCGGAAUUCCCGGUGUAGAGGUGAAAUUCGUAGAUAUCGGGAGGAACACCAGUGGCGAAGGCGGCGAUCUGGGAAGAUACUGACGCUGAGGUGCGAAAGCGUGGGGAGCAAACAGG